CAACAGUAGUUACAGGUUUGGGUAAAGGCUUCUUAGAGCCAAUCAGAUGCUCCAUGGCAUGGAGAGCAAAGUCGCAGAGCUGGUGAGUGCUGCUUAACAUGAGUGUUUUGCACGAGAUGGGUGCAGAGGCUCUGUCAAGUGAGUUAGCAGAUGUGUCUUGUAGAAUGAUGAUCUCUGGGGUCACGCUGUGUAUGUCUGGCCAUUGGGAGCUUUGAGCCAUUGCUGCUGCUCUUAACUAGUCAUGUCUGAGGCUUGAUCUGGUGGCUUCCUUUGGGUUGGAUGGAAUGUCAAGCCACCUCCAGGCCUCUUGCUGUCUGCAGGGUGGUGCUGAAGUGCUCUUUGUAGCUCUGCUCUCACCUGCUCCUCUGUGCCGUUUGCUGCAGGCCUGUCAGCAUGCAGAGGCAGCACACCCUACCUGCAGGACUCUGCCUGUCUGGAAGUAUAAGAUAAAUUGGAACCACUUUCUCUAGUUUAAUUUUGGGAUCUGCAUUUCUUGAGGAGUGCCUGACUUGAAGCCAGCUGCGCAGGAAGCCAGGAUGCCGCCAGGACUUGUGCAGCUGUGCUGGCAGGAGGCUGGCUGUGCUGUGAGGCAGGCAGGCUGUUCCUCUGGGCCCGCAACCAGCUCCUGGCUCAGCCUGGGCAGGUUCUGCCUCUGUGCUUCAGUUUCCCUUCCCCAUGGUGGAUGUUUGGAGCUGUGACAAGUUUGCUGACCUGGUGUGGUGCUUGCUGUCCAGUUGUCUCAUCUCCAGCACUAACCAGCAAUACCAUCUGCAAUGGAGAGCGCAGAGCGGGGAGAAGGGGACAUGUUGCUCUAUGGGGAAACAGAAGAUGAUGAUGUCAGGUUGUCUCAUCUCCAGCACUAACCAGCAAUACCACCUGCAAUGGAGAGCGCAGAGAGGCGAGAAAGGGAGAUGUUGCUCUAUGGGGAAACAUCAGCUGAUAA